rnacentral:sRNA from 1 species
AGAAGUAUGCAAUAACAACUUAUGUGGCGCCCCGAUGUUCCCUCUGAAGGUCAGAGGCAUAACUAGAAAAUUAGUUAUAAAAUCGGGAAGAAACGCUCCAUAAGACGCUACUUCA